GAUGCCACAGACCAAGGUACGAAUAUUUAAGAAGGCGUAGAAAAAACUCGUAUGCUGAGACCAACCAAGCACGGUAAUCAAAGCUGUAACUCCAAUAUUCAGUAUAAAUAGAAACUUCCAUUUGUUAGGAGUCUUAGGAUUAAACAGACCAACCUCUAACGGUAAAAAGUACAUCACAUAUGCACAGUAGAAAAGACUCAACAGCUCCACUAACUUAAAAGCCCAAUAUUCAGGAUACAAAAACAGCGGUACUAUUAAAAGCAAGUAGAGGAACGAAAAGAUAAUAGAAAACAUUCGAUUAUCCCGAUUGUUAGUCAAACGUAGUUGUUCAACGA